UGCAUCUGCUGUCUUCAGGUAAAUGAUCUGGAGUGUGUUUGCAUAUUGAUCAGAUGCUUCAGUGCUCUGAGAGUGUUUAUAGUGCUGUGAGUUUAACACUUCAUCACUGACACACACAACAAUCUUCAUCAACAUGACCUUCAUCAUCAUCUUCAUCUGGACUCUCACAGUGUUUGUUCAAGAGUGUAGAGGACAGAUCACCGUCACUCAGAGUCCCUCAAUGACAGCAGCUCAACCAGGAGAAACAGUCAAAAUCAACUGUAGAACCAGCAGAGAUGUGCGCAGAUAUAGUUUGGGGGAUGAAGCUUUAGCUUGGUAUUUCCAAAAAUCUGGAGAAUCUCCUAAACUCCUGAUUCAUUUUGUCAAAAAGCUCCAGUCAGGAACUCCAUCUAGAUUCAGUGGCAGUGGAUCUAACAGUGAUUUCACUCUGACCAUCAGUGGAGUCCAGACUGAAGAUGCUGGAUAUUAUUACUGUCAGAGUGAACACACUGGUGGUGUGUCCACACAGUGAUAAAGA